ACGUACACUCCUACGGGAGGCAGCAGUGGGGAAUAUUGGACAAUGGGCGCAAGCCUGAUCCAGCCAUGCCGCGUGAGUGAUGAAGGCCCUAGGGUUGUAAAGCUCUUUCACCGGUGAAGAUAAUGACGGUAACCGGAGAAGAAGCCCCGGCUAACUUCGUGCCAGCAGCCGCGGUAAUACGAAGGGGGCUAGCGUUGUUCGGAUUUACUGGGCGUAAAGCGCACGUAGGCGGACUAUUAAGUCAGGGGUGAAAUCCCGGGGCUCAACCCCGGAACUGCCUUUGAUACUGGUAGUCUUGAGUUCGAGAGAGGUGAGUGAAAUUCCGAGUGUAGAGGUGAAAUUCGUAGAUAUUCGGAGGAACACCAGUGGCGAAGGCGGCUCACUGGCUCGAUACUGACGCUGAGGUGCGAAAGCGUGGGGAGCAAACAGGAUUAGAAACCCUGGUAGUCCCA
rnacentral:rRNA from 1 species